rnacentral:sRNA from 1 species
CUUCUUCAAUCUGCUGCGGGCAAAUGAAAUGGAUGUGGCUAUCAAAACCACCGGCGGUCAGGAUCUUGCCUUCGCCUGCAAUGGCCUCGGUGCCAGGGCCGAUAACAAUAUCGACGCCGGGCUGGGUGUCCGGGUUGCCCGCCUUGCCGAUGGCGUGAAUGCGUCCAUCGCGCAGACCGACAUCAGCCUUGUAGAUUCCGCUGUGAUCAACGAUCAGUGCAUUGGUGAUGACCGUGUCGACCGCUCCCUGCGCACGGGUCGCCUGCGACUGGCCCAUGCCAUCUCGUAUG